ACGACGCAAAGAAGAAUGACGUAAUUUCUAAGCGACUACACCGCGCGCUAUUUGGUAGAAAAACUUUACGGAAAGGAACCUCUGACAUAGUUCACAAUCUUCUGUUGAUUAUUGAGCUUCACGGGACAGAGUAGAGGCUAACUCAUGUUUUCUCCGCGUGCCGGCCCGAGUUCGGCCCGCCGGCAGCAGCACAGAACCCCCGGCGGGAGAACAUCCAACAGCAGCCUGCUGCUCACGCCGCGGAGGACACCUUUGUCGGCGAGACCGACGCCCACCCGUGAGCAGAGCCACCCGCCCUUCGGCGGCCUCAAUUAUGACGUCCAAACGUUCGGCUCUUCGCUGCCUGUCAAAGUGAUGGAGGCGCUGGCCGGACUCAAGGCUGAGGAGCAGAUCUCGGUGAAGGUGAGCGAGAGCGGGUGGGCCUGGAUGGUUAGCGGAGACAGGCUCAUCGUCUGGAAGAUCUGCCAGACAGCCGUGGCCAAGCUCUGCGCGUGCAAGGAGCUUCAGCUCCCCAACAGCCAGUACGACUAUACGGCCGAGCACGUGGCCGUGACGUCAGCCGGCCCGCUGGACGCGGCGCCUGUGCAGGCCGUGACCGUGUUGGCCGUGGCGGCUGAGGGUACCGCUCGGUUGUGGCCCAGCUUGUCUCAGGAGGGCAACUACGUCGAGGCCGACCUAGACCUGGGAGACCUCUGUUCCUUUGUAGUGGCCGUCACUGGUGGUAGCUUCGUGGUUUCCUCAGUUAAGAGUCGCAUGUUGCGCGUCGGAGCCGACGGUUCCGGGAGGCUUCAGUACCGAGCGCUGCAACAGGGCCAGGGCGUGUUGUCCGGCAUCGGGCGCAGGGUGUCCAGCCUGUUCGGCAUCCUGUCGCCGCCUGCCAACGACAUGCUCAACAGUGUGCUGUGGGUCGGCGAAACCAGCUGCCUCUACGCACUGACCAACUCUCGCCUUAGCAAAUGGGAAGUGGACGUGAGCUCGGAGGAGCAGACGGUCAGCUGGGACGCCCAGCGAGCUCUGACGGAGAGCAUCGCGGAUGCCAUUUGGGGCUCGGACACCAACUACGAGGAGAUGCGUGAAGGCGUCAAUGUGACUUUUCUUGACUUGAAGCUCAGCCAGGCCGGGGUGGUAGUCCUGGCUGCUGCGUGGCAUCCUUCAGACACGCCCUGCCUGGUGUACUUCUGCCUGGUCACUCUGGAGGACCUCGGCACUGCCAUCUCUAACCAGUUUACCGUGGAAGUCACCAACUACAACCCCUCCUUCCUGAGCGAGUCUGAGCUGCACGCCACACGUCUUCUGCUGCCGCCUUCCCCCGGUACCACCGCCUUCCUCUACAACGAGGAACUCGUCUUCGCCUGCUCCACGGGAAGCGGCAGGGCCGGCCUUCCCGACGAGAAGAUCCCCUUCAAAUCGCCCGGUGAUGGCGUGCGCGGUGGCGGCUGCUGCGCCAACCUGCCCGUAUUCUUCUCACAGAACAGCGGGCUGGUAGCCGUGGUGGCCCGGGAGAGCGCCUCAAUCCUGCCCGAGACUGUGGAGGACUCCUUGUGCUCGUCUCUGGCAGCAGCAUCGGAAGUGUCCAUGAUGGAGCAGCCCAGCCGAACUGAGCCGGUAUUGCAAGAGGACAAACCGAAGCUCCUGAAGGCAGCAUUCUUGCAGUUCUGUCGCAACGACCUCCUGGGCGCUCAGGCGCUCACCGACGAGCUCUUCCCGACCGGUGAUGUUGCAGUCGAGUGCGGCGAGCUGGAUGCCAUAGUGACCCAGAUUAACCUGGAACUGCUGGAUGACUACCCGGCCUCCGACCCCCGCUGGGCCGAGUCUGUGCCUGACGAAAGUGCUGGAUUCCCACUGACGUCCCUCAUCAUCCUCUACCAGCUGGAGGACAAAAUGAAGGCCCACACCUGCUUCAUGGACUUCCUCCUGCAGGUGGGUCUCCUGGAGCGUCUGGGCCACAUUUGUGUGCGCUUGUCCCCCAUGGCCACGCCACUGCUGCUCUGCGAGCAUGCCGAGAAGCUGCAGGCGGCCAUGGUGUUGAAGAACCAUCACAGCAAGCACGGCGAGUUGGUCAACCGGGCCAUCGGCACCGCGCUGAGCCGGAAUAACACUCCGGUGCCACCCAGCCUCACCGGAGCCGAUGUCUUCUUCCGGGAGGUUUCACAGAUCUCCACCAUCUUUGAUUGUCUUCUGGAGGAGGAGGAGAGGAGCUUGAGAGAGAACCCGGUGGACUCAGUGCAAUGGGCUGAGGUGGUUCUGACCGUCAACACCAUCAUCAAGGACAUGCUUUAUGGUUCCACUCAAUACAGAGAGAGCCAAGCAUCCAUGUACAGAGCGUCUGAUCAUGCCGCCCCGAACCCAGAGUACAUCCCGUGGACAGCGGUGGGGGGUCCGGGCGGAAUUCGCACGGUCAUCUCCCGCCAGCACGAGCUCAUCUUGCGCUCCAUGUACCCCCACGCUGAUUCCGAACUCCGCAGCAAGUUGUGUGAGCAGCUGGUGGCGUUGUUGGACUUCUACCUGGCAGGCUAUGUGGCCCAGCUCAACUCCUUGAAGAAGCAGCAGGACCAAGAGCGCUACAGCAGCCUGGAAAUGGAGUACAGUCAAAGGAGAUCUGAACUACUGGCACCAUUAUUGGAGCUGGGUCAGUACCAGUGGGUGGCGGCGCUGGCUGAGAAGUACUGCGACUUUGAUAUUCUGGUCCAAAUGUGCGAGCUGACUGACAACCAAAGCCGCUUGCAGCACUACAUGAGCAAGUUUGCAGACCAGAACUUUGCGGACUUCUUGUUUCGCUGGUACAUGGAGAAAGGCAAGAGAGGAAAGCUUCUGUCCCAGCCGGCCGCUCAGCACCAGCAGCUGGCCGGAUUCCUGCAGGCGCAUCAACACCUCAGCUGGCUCCACGACAUACUCGUGGACGACUACCAGACUGCCCACAGGACCCUGUCCAAACAGGCCAACAUGGAAACGCGUUACUUCACUAAGAAGAAGACUCUCCUCGCUCUCAGCAAGCUAUCAGCGCUGGCGUCCGAUCUUCCGCAAGGCGAGCUGGGCAAGCAAGUCGACGAAAUUGCGGAGCAGGAGCGCUUCCUGCUGCACCAGCAGACGUUGCCCAGGCAACUUCUGGAGGACAAACAGCUGAACCCCGACACGAUGCCGCUGCUCAGCGCUCACCAGCUGAUCCAGCUUUACAUUUGCGACGACAACCGCGGGGCCAACGAGUACGACUUCAAGAAGGCGCUGGAUCUCCUCCACUACAUCCGCGAGGAAGAGAACGUCGACGUCCACUUGCUCAAGUGCCAAAUCCUUGGAAAGGUUCUCAGGAGAGAUGGUUUGUGUUCUGCCGACGGGAACGAUGACCCGAUUGAGGCCGCCAAGGACAGCAUCUUUGUCAAGAUCCUCGUCAAGCUCGCCGACGAAGGUGUCAGGCUGCAGACGUACCUGCCGGAGGUCAAGGAGCUGCUGGAGCUGGAUGAACUGAGCGCUCUCAAGUCCAACCCAUACUUUGAGUUUGUGUUGCGAGCCAAUGACGAACAUUACGUGCAGGCGCAGAUCGACAUUUGUCAAACAGGCCAAAGUUAAGCAGUCCGACCUCCACCUUAAAUUUUUCAGUCACACCUCAUCACUCACUUUUCCGCUGCCUUCGUACACUUUCUGUAUUAUUCUAACGUAAUUUCACAAUAACGCUGUUCUUCUCUGGGUACUCUUUCAACUGGUAUUCUAUAAAAUCACCUCUUUGAAUAUCUGUCUCGUCUGUUGUGGCAAACCAACAGUACAACAGGUCUCGGGUGUUCUGAAUAUGCUGCGCCGGUUCAAUGUCUCCCACAGUGUCGAGCGGCUCCGUUUGACCUGCAAUAUGGCGCCGUGAAAACGGUGACGUCACGUGCACGAGCUCUAUCGUUCCCGCAGCUCAGGCGUCUUCUCACCCGCUAGAUUUCUGCUGAACAAGCUGGUCAAAAACUCCACGGCCACUUCUCGAUGCUUCCACACCGUCAUGUCUUUCCAUUUUUCAUCUUCUGUGCCAAAUUUCCCCCUCACUAAUCAUUGCCACUUCCUAGUCCGACACACUUCCCUCUUCUACGCUUCUUUCUGUCUUUUGUCAACACCUCAAAGUAUUCUUUCCAUCCAUCCAGCUUCCUACUGGGACACACAAGUCAACACCUUUUCAUCUCUGUCCUUAAUCACCCUAACCGGCUGCACAUCUCUAUCGCUCUGCCUGGCCAACCUGUCGAGAUUCCUUUCGCGUCUAACCUGGUGUGCAUGUCGUCUUAUCCCUCUUGUUUGGCCUUUGCCCUACAUCGCAUCUCAAUGUACUCGUUUCGCCUCUCCACAGUCCUCUCAGUGUCCCACUUCUUCUUCACUAACCUCUUUCCUUGUUUGGCUUCCUGUAAAUUGGGGUUCCGCCACCAAGUCUCCUUCUUCCCUUUCCUCUUGCCUUCUUAAUCUUCCUACCCACCACCAUCCUGUGCUGUUGAGCUACACUUUGCCCUCCCCUACCUUACAGUCAGUAGCCUCCUACAGAUUUCAUCGCCUGAACAAAAUGGAAUCCACCUGCGUGCUUCUACCUCUGCUCUUGUAGGCCACCGUCCAAACCGGAAGUGGUUGGCUCCGCUCGUGCUAGCUGCAGCUGCUCCUGCAUCUCAGGGGGGUCUGGACGGAGCCGAUGUCGUUUGUAUAGCGGGAUUGACGUCACUCAAGCGGUUCGGAAGAGACCCCGAACUCCUU